UGAGUACAGAAACCACGUCUAUUACUUCAACAGUGGUGCCUACAACUUCAGAGAGUACAACAGCAGAAACCACGACUACAGCUUCAUCAACCACAACUACAACAACAAACAAUCCAACAACAUCAACAUCUGUAACUUCUGAAUCUACAACUCUUACUUCAACAGUUACACCUACAUCUUCAGAAACAACUACACCUCUAACAACAUCAGUAACUACAGCAUCCUCAACUACUGAAAUUCCCACAACCACAGUGGUGAGUUUAGAAACCACAUCUAUUACUUCAACAGUGGUGCCUACAACUUCAGAGAGUACAACAGUAGAAACCACGACUACAGCUUCAUCAACCACUCCUACAACAACAAACAAUCCAACAACAUCAACAUCUGUAACUUCUGAAUCUACAACUCUUACUUCAACAGUUACACCUACAUCUUCAGAAACAACUACACCUCUAACAACAUCAGUAACUACAGCAUCCUCAACUACUGAAAUUCCCACAACCACAGUGGUGAGUUUAGAAACCACAUCUAUUACUUCAACAGUGGUGCCUACAACUUCAGAGAGUACAACAGUAGAAACCACGACUACAGCUUCAUCAACCACUCCUACAACAACAAACGAUCUAACAACAUCAACGGCUGUAACUUCAGAAUCCACAACUCUCAUUUCAACGACAGCGCCUACAUCUUCAGAAACAACUGCACCUUUAACAACUUCAGAAACUACAGCAUCCUCAACUUCUGAAAUUCCCACAACCACAGUUGUGAGUACAGAAACCACAUCUAUUACUUCAACAGUGGUGCCAACAACUUCAGAGAGUACAACAGCAGAAACCACGACUACAGUUUCAUCAACCACUCCUACAACAACAAACGAUCCAACAACAUCAACGGCUGUAACUUCAGAAACUACAGCUCUUACUUCAACAGUUAUACCUACGUCUUCAGAAACAACUACACCUCUAACAACAUCAUAAACUACAGCAUCCUCAACUACUGAAAUUCCCACAACCACAGUUGUGAGUACAGAAACCACAUCUAUUACUUCAACAGUGGUGCCUACAACUUCAGAGAGUACAACAGUAGAAACCACGACUACAGCUUCAUCAACCACUCCUACAACAACAAACAAUCCAACAACAUCAACAGCUGUAACUUCAGAAUCCACAACUCUCACUUCAACGACAGCGC
ensembl:lncRNA